rnacentral:rRNA from 1 species
CCGGAGGGAAACCGAGUCUUAACCGGGCGUUAAGUUGCAGGGUAUAGACCCGAAACCCGGUGAUCUAGCCAUGGGCAGGUUGAAGGUUGGGUAACACUAACUGGAGGACCGAACCGACUAAUGUUGAAAAAUUAGCGGAUGACCUGUGGCUGGGGGUGAAAGGCCAAUCAAACCGGGAGAUAGCUGGUUCUCCCCGAAAGCUAUUUAGGUAGCGCCUCGUGAAUUCAUCUCCGGGGGUAGAGCACUGUUUCGGCUAGGGGGCCAUCCCGGCUUACCAACCCGAUGCAAACUGCGAAUACCGGAGAAUGUUAUCACGGGAGACACACGGCGGGUGCUAACGUCCGUCGUGAAGAGGGAAACAACCCAGACCGCCAGCUAAGGUCCCAAAGUCAUGGUUAAGUGGGAAACGAUGUGGGAAGGCCCAGACAGCCAGGAUGUUGGCUUAGAAGCAGCCAUCAUUUAAAGAAAGCGUAAUAGCUCACUGGUCGAGUCGGCCUGCGCGGAAGAUGUAACGGGGCUAAACCAUGCACCGAAGCUGCGGCAGCGACACUGUGUGUUGUUGGGUAGGGGAGCGUUCUGUAAGCCUGUGAAGGUGUGUCGUGAGGCAUGCUGGAGGUAUCAGAAGUGCGAAUGCUGACAUAAGUAACGAUAAAGCGGGUGAAAAGCCCGCUCGCCGGAAGACCAAGGGUUCCUGUCCAACGUUAAUCGGGGCAGGGUGAGUCGACCCCUAAGGCGAGGCCGAAAGGCGUAGUCGAUGGGAAACGGGUUAAUAUUCCCGUACUUGGUGUUACUGCGAAGGGGGGACGGAGAAGGCUAUGUUGGCCGGGCGACGGUUGUCCCGGUUUAAGCGUGUAGGUGUGUGUUCCAGGUAAAUCCGGUUCACUUUAACACUGAGGCGUGACGACGAGGCACUACGGUGCUGAAGCAACAAAUGCCCUGCUUCCAGGAAAAGCCUCUAAGCAUCAGGUAACAUCAAAUCGUACCCCAAACCGACACAGGUGGUCAGGUAGAGAAUACCAAGGCGCUUGAGAGAACUCGGGUGAAGGAACUAGGCAAAAUGGUGCCGUAACUUCGGGAGAAGGCACGCUGACACGUAGGUGAAGUGAUUUACUCAUGGAGCUGAAGUCAGUCGAAGAUACCAGCUGGCUGCAACUGUUUAUUAAAAACACAGCACUGUGCAAACACGAAAGUGGACGUAUACGGUGUGACGCCUGCCCGGUGCCGGAAGGUUAAUUGAUGGGGUCAGCGCAAGCGAAGCUCCUGAUCGAAGCCCCGGUAAACGGCGGCCGUAACUAUAACGGUCCUAAGGUAGCGAAAUUCCUUGUCGGGUAAGUUCCGACCUGCACGAAUGGCGUAAUGAUGGCCAGGCUGUCUCCACCCGAGACUCAGUGAAAUUGAACUCGCUGUGAAGAUGCAGUGUACCCGCGGCAAGACGGAAAGACCCCGUGAACCUUUACUAUAGCUUGACACUGAACAUUGAGCCUUGAUGUGUAGGAUAGGUGGGAGGCUUUGAAGUGUGGACGCCAGUCUGCAUGGAGCCGACCUUGAAAUACCACCCUUUAAUGUUUGAUGUUCUAACGUGGACCCGUUACCCGGGUUGCGGACAGUGUCUGGUGGGUAGUUUGACUGGGGCGGUCUCCUCCUAAAGAGUAACGGAGGAGCACGAAGGUUGGCUAAUCCUGGUCGGACAUCAGGAGGUUAGUGCAAUGGCAUAAGCCAGCUUGACUGCGAGCGUGACGGCGCGAGCAGGUGCGAAAGCAGGUCAUAGUGAUCCGGUGGUUCUGAAUGGAAGGGCCAUCGCUCAACGGAUAAAAGGUACUCCGGGGAUAACAGGCUGAUACCGCCCAAGAGUUCAUAUCGACGGCGGUGUUUGGCACCUCGAUGUCGGCUCAUCACAUCCUGGGGCUGAAGUAGGUCCCAAGGGUAUGGCUGUUCGCCAUUUAAAGUGGUACGCGAGCUGGGUUUAGAACGUCGUGAGACAGUUCGGUCCCUAUCUGCCGUGGGCGCUGGAGAACUGAGGGGGGCUGCUCCUAGUACGAGAGGACCGGAGUGGACGCAUCACUGGUGUUCGGGUUGUCAUGCCAAUGGCACUGCCCGGUAGCUAAAUGCGGAAGAGAUAAGUGCUGAAAGCAUCUAAGCACGAAACUUGCCCCGA